GACGGAGGGUGCUAGCGUUGUCCGGAAUCACUGGGCGUAAAGGGCGCGUAGGCGGCCUCAGGUGUCGGAUGUGAAAGCCCGGGGCUCAACCCCGGAGGUGCAUCCGAAACUCUGGGGCUGGAGGUCGGAAGAGGAGGGUGGAAUACCCAGUGUAGAGGUGAAAUUCGUAGAUAUUGGGUGGAACACCGGUGGCGAAAGCGGCUCUCUGGUCCGGACCUGACGCUGAGGCGCGAAAGCGUGGGGAGCAAACAGG
rnacentral:rRNA from 1 species